rnacentral:sRNA from 1 species
GCUGGGCAUGGUGGUGCAUGCCUGUAAUCCUAGUGGCUCUGGAGGCUAAGGCAGGAGGAUCACAGAUUUGAAGCUAGCCUCAGAAAAUCAGGGAAAUUGUAAGCAACCUAGUAAGAGCCUGUCUUAA